rnacentral:rRNA from 1 species
GGAAUAUUGGACAAUGGGCGAAAGCCUGAUCCAGCAAUGCCGCGUGAGUGAUGAAGGCCUUAGGGUUGUAAAGCUCUUUUACCAGGGAUGAUAAUGACAGUACCUGGAGAAUAAGCUCCGGCUAACUCCGUGCCAGCAGCCGCGGUAAUACGGAGGGAGCUAGCGUUGUUCGGAAUUACUGGGCGUAAAGCGCACGUAGGCGGCUAUUCAAGGCAGGGGUGAAAUCCCGGGGCUCAACCCCGGAACUGCCUCUGAAACUAGAUAGCUAGAAUCUUGGAGAUGUCAGUGGAAUUCCGAGUGUAGAGGUGAAAUUCGUAGAUAUUCGGAAGAACACCAGUGGCGAAGGCGACUGACUGGACAAGUAUUGACGCUGAGGUGCGAAAGCGUGGGGAGCAAAC